AGGUGCGCACGUUAGCGGCGCCUCCCUUCCCUAGAAUGGUAGUCAUGGCCAGCCGUCUAGACGCCUUCGUUAAAUCCAUCAUUUUCCCUCGCCCUAAAAUUGCCACCUACGACACCUCCACUCAUCCCAACAAGCUCGUGCACAUCCCUCUCGUCGACCCACACCGACAUGUCGAAAACGGUGCGUUCACCUACGGCUACCUGCUGGCAAACCCCAAGGCAACUCAUGUGCUCUUGUACGCCCACCCCAAUGCCGUGGACAUCGGCAUGGCCUACAAGGAGCUCCGCUACGUGAGCAAAGAGGCGUCCAUCAGCGUGCUACUGUUCGAGUACUCGGGCUAUGGACUCACCCACACCCCCAUAACAGAAGCAAGUAUUCACCAAGACACGCUUUCCGCCUACCUCUUCCUGCGCCGCUACUUUGGGGUGCCAUCGAACCGCGUAAUUCUCUGUGGCCGCUCUCUCGGCGCCUCGCCCGCCGCAUUUCUGGCUGCUUUUCUUCCACCACAGCAGCGGCCAUGCCUACUUAUUCUCCAAUGCCCCUUCACCGCGCUUAGCGAGUGCAUCAACGAGUUCUCGCAGAACGCCGUGUCCAUCGCGAACUUUCUAGGGUACAACUGGUUUCGAACGAUUGACAUCAUCACAGACGUGAGUUGCCCGGUCGUGCUUCAUCACGGCACUAACGAUACCACUGUGAGGAUCGAUCACUCCUACACUCUGCAGCGGGCCCGCGACACCGCUGCGAAACCGUGCGUCACCUACCUGUACCGAGAGGACGGCAAAGGCCACAACAACCUCAGCUCCGCCACUUUGGUGCGGAUACUUCGAGAGCGUGUCGUAACGGAGGCUCUGCUGCCGCUGCUACUGCCCCACACGAAGCUGUUCUUGGCGAACGCGCCCGUCUACGCGCGGCUUUUCUGCGACGAUAGCGGAAUGGGGUUCGCCACGCUGAGCGACGCCGUAGCAUCCUGGUUGGCGAAGUUGUCCCUCCACAUUUGCGCACCGCCGCUCGAUCAGCUGUAUGUCCUGCUGACCGCAAGCGUCUGCGCCUUCACGAUGGAGUGCGCGCGAGCGUGGCAGAUUUACUGCGCGCUCAUCAGGAAGAACUUGUGUGGCGACGCGGCACACGAACGGUGCACCAAGGACGUGUUUCUUCAUCGGUGCCUGGCGUGCUGGGGGAGCCCCCUCGCUGUCCACGUCGCUGUCGAGCGCGUACAGUCAACGAAAGAGGUCCGCUGCUUCGGCUUCGCCACCUGCCGGGACGCGAUGCUGGACGCACCGGCUAUGUACCCGGCAAAGUCCCCUGAGGCGCUGCUAACUGUGCUGGAAAUCGGUGUCACGCCAGGGCUGCUGUCCUGCAUGAAGCGGUGCCUCAACACCGCUCCCGACAUGCUGGAAGAGCAUGCGAUGCCAUGCUUUGUGCAGCAAGACACAGUUAGCGCGGUGCAGCUGGAGUGUGAGCGUGCUGUGGCGUUUCUGACCGAGGACGACAAGCAGCGUCUGUGUGCCUUGCUAAAGGACAUGGACUCCGGCUUUAGCGACAAUCUGUCCAGCAAGGCUUAUGAGCGGCUGCGGCGCUCACCUUCCACGUCUCCCCAAAUGAGCGCAGAGUCGUUCGAAGAGCUGAAGGAGUGGCUGCGGCCGUGGACCUCCACACGCGGAACAGACAUGCAUGCACUGGCUCAGGAGGUACCGUGGGACGACUAUCUGCUGCGCAGUCGGUCCGUUGCUCGGCAGCACGUGCUGAAUGAGAGCAUGAGCUGGGAGGAGUGCUGCCAGGCAAUGGAGGAGAGCGAUGUGGUUUCCAAAAUCUACACUCUCUUUCAGGAAAUGUCAGCACAGUACCUGCGGCCUACCUUUCACCCUCACCCCACAGCGUCCGUGGAGUCCCGUGCGUAAGAGGCGGCUCGACAGCCACGUUCUUUUUUUUACGUGCCAUCAUUAACACUGUCGCCGACCCUUGCAUCUUUCGACUUGACCAGGUUAAUCAACUCCCCUAGGAUGGCCUGCUUCUCCAGCGCGCGGUAUGUCAGGGCCCAUCACCGACACUCUGCGAGGAAGCAAGGCAGCUCGCUGCCUGCUCUCCGGUACGGCAGCGGGCUUUUGGUGUCGGCGCACAGAUCUGGGCUGGCGUUGCGCGGAAGUGCCUUGCAAUCGCGACCUCGUUUUGGGGCCAGCUCACUACGUCUCGUGCCGACGCUUUAACAGGUGUACGCGUGCACCUGCUGUUUUUCUGCGUCCGGUGCGCUGCGGUGCUGUUGAGCAUGGUCCUGGACGUGGCCUGCGCUGUCUGCAGUGACAUAGCACUGAGCUGAGUGACGCCAAGCGGUGCUGGCUGGCUAGCUUUCCUGACGAGUCUUCGAUGGAAGCCUGUAUUCCACCAGAGACUGCUUUCACCCCGACAG
rnacentral:misc_RNA from 1 species